AGAGUGAACGCUGGCGGCAUGCCUUACACAUGCAAGUCGAACGGCAGCACGGGAGCAAUCCUGGUGGCGAGUGGCGAACGGGUGAGUAAUACAUCGGAACGUGCCCAAUCGUGGGGGAUAACGCAGCGAAAGCUGUGCUAAUACCGCAUAAGAUCUACGGAUGAAAGCAGGGGAUCGCAAGACCUUGCGCGAAUGGAGCGGCCGUAUGGCAGAUUAGGUAGUUGGUGGGUAAAGGCUCACCAAGCCUUCGAUCUGUAGCUGGUCUGAGAGGACGACCAGCCACACGUGGGACUGAGACACGGCCCAGACUCCGUACGGAGGCAGCGAGUGGGGAAUUUUGGACUAUGGGCGAAAGCCUAG
rnacentral:rRNA from 1 species